rnacentral:rRNA from 1 species
AGUGAACGCUGGCGGUAGGCCUAACACAUGCAAGUCGAACGGCAGCACAGUAAGAGCUUGCUCUUACGGGUGGCGAGUGGCGGACGGGUGAGGAAUACAUCGGAAUCUACUUUUUCGUGGGGGAUAACGUAGGGAAACUUACGCUAAUACCGCAUACGACCUACGGGUGAAAGCAGGGGAUCUUCGGACCUUGCGCGAUUGAAUGAGCCGAUGUCGGAUUAGCUAGUUGGCGGGGUAAAGGCCCACCAAGGCGACGAUCCGUAGCUGGUCUGAGAGGAUGAUCAGCCACACUGGAACUGAGACACGGUCCAGACACCUACGGGAGGCAGAAGUGGGGAAUAUUGGACAAUGGGCGAAAGCCUGAUCCAGCCAUACCGCGUGGGUGAAGAAGGCCUUCGGGUUGUAAAGCCCUUUUGUUGGGAAAGAAAAGCAGCAGGUUAAUACCCCGCUGUUCGGACGGUACCCAAAGAAUAAGCACCGGCUAACUUCGU